CUGCAUGAUGAAUUCUUGUUAGUGCCAUCGUGUCUGGGCCACUGAUGCUCCGUGAUGGAACUGAGGAUCUGAGCUG
rnacentral:snoRNA from 1 species